rnacentral:rRNA from 1 species
AGUGAACGCUGGCGGUAGGCCUAACACAUGCCAGUCGAACGGCAGCACAGUAAGAGCUUGCUCUUACGGGUGGCGAGUGGCGGACGGGUGAGGAAUACAUCGGAAUCUACUUUUUCGUGGGGGAUAACGUAGGGAAACUUACGCUAAUACCGCAUACGACCUACGGGUGAAAGCAGGGGAUCUUCGGACCUUGCGCGAUUGAAUGAGCCGAUGUCGGAUUAGCUAGUUGGCGGGGUAAAGGCCCACCAAGGCGACGAUACGUAGCUGGACUGAGAGGAGGAUCAGCCACACUGGAACUGGGACACGGUCCAGACUCCUACGGGAGGCAGCAGUGGGGAAUAUUGGACAAUGGGCGCAAGCCUGAUCCAGCCAUACCGCGUGGGUGAAGAAGGCCUUCGGGUUGUAAAGCCCUUUUGUUGGGAAAGAAAAGCAGCAGGUUAAUACCCCGCUGUUCUGACGGUACCCAAAGAAUAAGCACCGGCUAACUUCGUG